rnacentral:rRNA from 1 species
AGUGAACGCUGGCGGUAGGCCUAACACAUGCGGGUCGAACGGCAGCACAGUAAGAGCUUGCUCUUACGGGUGGCGAGUGGCGGACGGGUGAGGAAUACAUCGGAAUCUACUUUUUCGUGGGGGAUAACGUAGGGAAACUUACGCUAAUACCGCAUACGACCUACGGGUGAAAGCAGGGGAUCUUCGGACCUUGCGCGAUUGAAUGAGCCGAUGUCGGAUUAGCUAGUUGGCGGGGUAAAGGCCCACCAAGGCGACGAUCCGUAGCUGGUCUGAGAGGAUGAUCAGCCACACUGGAACUGAGACACGGUCCAGACUCCUACGGGAAGCAGCAGUGGGGAAUAUUGGACAAUGGGCGCAAGCCUGAUCCAGCCAUACCGCGUGGGCGAAGAAGGCCUUCGGGUUGUAAAGCCCUUUUGUUGGGAAAGAAAAGCAGCAGGUUAAUACCCCGCUGUUCUGACGGUACCCAAAGAAUAAGCACCGGCUAACUUCGUG